AGUAGGAUAGAUGAUCGCGGCUGGAAUUAUUCCAGGUGAGGAAAGUCCGGGCUUCGUAGGGCAGGAUGCCGGAUAACGUCCGGUGGAGGUGACUCCCAGGAAAGUGCAACAGAAAACAUACCGCCAGUCUUUGACUGGUAAGGGCGAAAAGGCGAGGUAAGAGCUCACCGCUUGUCUGGUAACAGACAGGGCAUUGUAAACCCCAUCCGAAGCAAGACCAGAUCUGAGGCUAUAUGGCUGCCCGUCAUGCCUUGAGGUAGGUCGCUUGAACUCUGUGGCAACACAUGAGUCUAGAUAGAUGAUCAUCCACGACAUAACCCGGCUUACAGUCCUACUCUA
rnacentral:RNase_P_RNA from 1 species